rnacentral:SRP_RNA from 1 species
GCCGGGGAGUUAGCGGCUCCUUGUACCUGAAAUCCGCUAUAGCAGGGGUGAUAUCCCGCAGAGGGUGUAUUUGCGUACAGCAGUCUUUGGUUAUCAGGCGUUGAGACUUGGGUCUUGCGCGACGGAAAUCCGUGAACCGUGUCAGGUCAGGAAUGAAGCAGCACUAAGCGGAACCUUCCGGGUGUUGUGAGGUCGCCUGGGUUGAGUCAGUAGCCUUAAAAACGUGUAUGUUUUGCAUUCG